rnacentral:rRNA from 1 species
AUACGUAGGGGGCGAGCGUUGUCCGGAAUUACUGGGCGUAAAGGGCGCGUAGGCGGUCUAAUAAGUCAGAUGUGAAACCCCCGGGCUUAACCCUGGGCUUGCAUUUGAAACUGUUGGACUUGAGGGCAGGAGAGGAAAGCGGAAUUCCCAGUGUAGCGGUGAAAUGCGUAGAUAUUGGGAGGAACACCAGUGGCGAAGGCGGCUUUCUGGACUGCACCUGACGCUGAGGCGCGAAAGCCAGGGGAGCGAACGGGAUUAGAUACCCCAGUAGUCCUGGCCGUAAACGAUGGAUACUAGGUGUGGGAGGUAUCGACCCCUUCCGUGCCGGAGCAAACGCAAUAAGUAUCCCGCCUGGGGAGUACGGCCGCAAGGCUGAA